rnacentral:rRNA from 1 species
GACGAACGCUGGCGGCGUGCCUAAUACAUGCAAGUCGAACGAGAGCGACCGGUGCUUGCACUGGUCAAUCUAGUGGCGAACGGGUGAGUAACACGUGGGUAACCUGCCCAUCAGAGGGGGAUAACAUCCGGAAACGGAUGCUAAAACCGCAUAGGUCUUCGAACCGCAUGGUUUGAAGAGGAAAAGAGGCGCAAGCUUCUGCUGAUGGAUGGACCCGCGGUGCAUUAGCUAGUUGGUGAGGUAACGGCUCACCAAGGCCGUGAUGCAUAGCCGACCUGAGAGGGUGAUCGGCCACAUUGGGACUGAGACACGGCCCAAACUCCUACGGGAGGCAGCAGUAGGGAAUCUGCCGCAAUGGACGCAAGUCUGACGGAGCAACGCCGCGUGAGUGAAGAAGGUUUGCGGAUCGUAAAACUCUGUUGUUAGAGAAGAACAAGUGCUAGAGUAACUGUUAGCGCCUUGACGGUAUCUAACCAGAAAGCCACGGCUAACUACGG